rfam:Talaromyces stipitatus ATCC 10500 scf_1105507295515 genomic scaffold, whole genome shotgun sequence.
GGCUUCUUAGUCUAAUGGUUAUGACAUCGGAUUCUGAUUAGGUCUUCUGUGACCAGAAUGUUCCGGGGGUCAGGGUUCGAUUCCCUGAGAGGCCU